rnacentral:rRNA from 1 species
ACAGGGAUUGCCUCAGUAACGGCGAGUGAAGCGGCAACAGCUCAAAUUUGAAAUCUGGCUCCUUCGGGGUCCGAGUUGUAAUUUGCAGAGGAUGCGUCGGGUACGGGUCCCUACCGAGUUCCCUGGAACGGGACGCCAUAGAGGGUGAGAGCCCCGUCUGGUAGGAUACCCAGCCCAUGUGACGCUCCCUCGACGAGUCGAGUAGUUUGGGAAUGCUGCUCUAACGGGAGGUAUACUCCUUCCAAAGCUAAAUACCGGCUGGAGACCGAUAGCGCACAAGUAGAGUGAUCGAAAGAUGAAAAGCACUUUGAAAAGAGAGUCAAACAGCACGUGAAAUUGUUAAAAGGGAAGCACUCGCUACCAGACUUGGGUUCGGCGGUUCAACCGGGGCCACGCCCCGGGGCAUUCCGCCGGCUCAGGCCAGCAUCAGCUUUCCGUUGGGGGCAAAGACGUCGGGAAUGUAGCUCCUCUUCGGGGGAGUGUUAUAGCCCGGCGUGUCAUACCCUUCGGGGGGCUGAGGUACGCGCUUCUGCAAGGAUGCUGGCGUAAUGGUAGCUAGUGACCCGUCUUGAAACACGGACCAAGGAGUCAACCUUAUGUGCGAGUGCCCGGGUGUAAAACCCCAGCGCGGAAUGAAAGUGAACGUAGGUGAGAGCUUCGGCGCAUCACCGACCGAUCCUGAUGUCCUCGGACGGAUUUGAGUGAGAGCAUAUAGGGUUGGACCCGAAAGAAGAUGAACUAUGCGUGUGUAGGGUGAAGCCAGAGGAAACUCUGGUGGAGGCUCGCAGCGGUUCUGACGUGCAAAUCGAUCGUCAAACAUGCGCAUGGGGGCGAAAGACUAAUCGAAUCUUCUGGUAGCUGGUUUCCGCCGAAGUUUCCCUCAGGAUAGCAGUGUUGAUCCCAGUUUUAUGAGGUAAAGCGAAUGAUUAGGGACUCGGGGGCGCUAUAUUGCCUUCAUCCAUUCUCAAACUUUAAAUAUGUAAGAAGUCCCC